rnacentral:lncRNA from 1 species
ACAAGGUUGUUUUGGUUGAAAAGUUAUCUUGUGAGUAAAUAUCACUAAAAACAAUAAAAUGGUUUUAAUCUAAUAUAAAAGCUUGGCAAGAUUGGAGUUCACUAUUUCAAAUGUUUAUGCUUCCUUAUGAUAACUAUAUAGAUUUAAGAUUAUUGAUGAUGUUCAAGUAUCCUCUCAAAGUCAUUUAUGUCUAAAUGAU